rnacentral:SRP_RNA from 1 species
UCGUGCUAGGUGGGGAGUUAGCGGUGCCCUGAACCUGCAAUCCGCUAUAGCAGGGCUGAAUGCUUAUACUGAGGCUUAUGUUUGUGGGGCUUGACCCUAGCAAGUAGUGUUGACAGUUGGGUCCGACGCAACAAGAAUUUGUGAACCCCGUCAGGUCCGGAAGGAAGCAGCGGUAAGCGAACCCUCUUGUGUGCCGUUGGGUAGCCUGACUCGAGCUAACUACUAGGGUAACACUUGGAAGCAUAUUGUCGAAUAUAAGGCACGG